CCGAGUUUUACAACUCCCAAACCCCUGUGAACAUACCAAUUGUUGCCUCGGCGGAUCAGCCCGCUCCCGGUAAAACGGGACGGCCCGCCAGAGGACCCCUAAACUCUGUUUCUAUAUGUAACUUCUGAGUAAAAACCAUAAAUAAAUCA
rnacentral:misc_RNA from 1 species